UACGUAGGGUGCAAGCGUUAAUCGGAAUUACUGGGCGUAAAGCGUGCGCAGGCGGUUGUGCAAGUCUGUCGUGAAAUCCCCGGGCUCAACCUGGGAAUUGCGAUGGAGACUGCACGGCUAGAGUGUGGCAGAGGGGGGUAGAAUUCCACGUGUAGCAGUGAAAUGCGUAGAUAUGUGGAGGAACACCGAUGGCGAAGGCAGCCCCCUGGGAUAACACUGACGCUCAUGCACGAAAGCGUGGGGAGCAAACAGG
rnacentral:rRNA from 1 species